AUGCAGGAGGCCACGGCGCCCUCUGCUGGACAGAAGGACAACAGGUUUUCAUGCAGGAGGCCACUGCGCCCCCUGCUGGACGGAAGGACAACAGGUUUUCAUUUUCAUUAUGAGCAGCUUUUCUGUCUGGACUCUGAAUGUUCCUGAACGCAACUUCAGUUUCAGGAAUUCAAUCUGUUUCUCAUCUAAAUAACAAAACAUUUAAAUACCAAACCAGUUAGUUUAUAUAAAAAUAGAUUAACUGAUUAAAUUGUUUCUCAUCCAAACAACAAAACGUCUAAAUGAUCUGUUAGUUUAUCAGAAAAAAAAGAUUAAAUGAGACAAAAGAUGGAACAUCAAACUAAAUAAAGGGCAAAAAGAGACAAUUCAGUGAAUUAAUCAGUAAUUAAACAUUUUUAGAUGAGGUGUUUUAAUUACUUGUUGCUGUUUUGUCAUUUUUGUUGUUUAUCUGUAUUGUAAAGAGAUCAAAUUUAAUUGGGAAUAAAUGAAUUUGUCUGCAAUUGAACUGUUUUAAUCAUUAUGAAAAUAUAAAAUUAAAUGUCAUUUUAUUCAAAUAAAAAAGCUUUAGCUUUAUUAACAGCUCCAAUUAAAUCUGUUUCCAUCUAAACAAUAAAACAUUUAAAGUUAGUUUAUCAGAGGAAAUGAGAUUAAAUGAGACAAAACUAAAUGAUUCAAAAAGAGACAAUUCAAUUAAUUAAUGAGUCAUUAAAUAUAUGGCAUGGUGUUUUAAUUACUUGUAUUCUCUGCUGUAGAGAUUAUUACUGAAAUAAAAUAAAAUGUAUUAAAAUAAACACAUUUAUCUGUCAAUAAACUGUUUCAAUAAUUCACAAAGUAAAUAAUUAAAUGUCAUUUUAUUAAAAUAAAAACAGGAUUUUAAUCAGAAUCAACUUUAUUGGCUAAAUUUGUGACACAAAAUAAUUAUUGGAUCACUUUUGAACCAGGAAUAGAUUUUAUUUAUUUCUUGAAGUUUUAUUUAAAAUACAUGUAAACAUUUAUAACCAGUUCAAAAUGAAAUUAAUUUCAUUUCAGAAUUUUUUAUUUCCACUUAAUUGUAACCGUUAAUAAAAAUCAGUUUCUGUCUGAUUUGUUCUGAAUUAAUGGAUAAUUUUAACUUUAUGAAGAGAAAAUCUGAUUUUCUUCUUAUUUUGACACAUUUAGAAACUGCUGUAAAAGUUUGACAUAUUUAAAAAUAAAACGGCUUUUCAGAUGAUUAACAGAGGCGAUUUAUUGAUCAGCAUCAUGUGAUCAGAAUCAACUCAAAGUUCAGAGGUGGAAAGAGUUUAAAAAUUAAACUGAACAAGUAAUCACUGUAAAAUCUUACUGUAGUAAAUUUUACUUUAAAAGUUACUUUGAGCAGAAGAUGACAAUGUAAGAAUGACUGUUUAAUUAAAGCAAACACUUUACAAAUAAAAAUCCAAAAUAAAUGAAAUAUUUUUUUUAUUUAGAUUUUAAAAAAUUAUUUUCAUUAUAUAUAUUUUUAGUCGUUACCAAAUAUGACUUCAAAAGUGACUAAAAUGCUUCACUCAGAACAAAAUCAAGUAAAACUAAGAAUUCAGGUUUUGCAAACAAAUUAAAAAACAAACUACUGAGUUUUUGUACUUAAUUACAGUAAUUAGAGUAAAUGUAACUAGUUUCUUUCCACUGAGGUUUUAUUCUUUUCCUGCACAAACUCCAUUUCCCAGAAUCCUCAGUUCAUUUCUCAUCAGAUUUAUAGAAAAACGAUGAAUUUCCGACCAGAGCAAAACGAUGUAAAUUGAGAAACUCAAAUAAACUGAAAAAUAAUUAUUCUACUUCCUGUUUUAAUUUGUAAAAAACCAGUUUGACUCAAACAUGAAUAUAAUUAUUCUAUUUUCUGUUCUUAUUCUUAUAGAAGCUUCGACUCAAAUAAAGAGAAAAAUAAUGAUUGUUUCCUGUUUUUAUUCGUGUAGAAACUCUUCGUUCAGUUGAGAGAAAACAUGAUUUUCUGACUUCCUUUAAAGUCUCAGUGAC